rnacentral:rRNA from 1 species
UACAGAGGCCUCGAGCGUUAGGCGGAAUCACUGGGCUUAAAGCGUGUGUAGGCGGACUUCUAAGUACCUUGUGAAAUCCCACGGCUCACCCGUGGAACUGCUCGGUAUACUGGUCGUCUUGAGCCUUCUAGGGGCGAGUGGAACAAUGGUGGAGCGAUGAAAUGCGUAGAUAUCGGCUUGGAACGCCGGAAGGUGAAAACAGGUCGCUGGGGAUGUGCCGACGCUGAGACACGGAAAGCCAGGGGAGCAAACGGG